rnacentral:lncRNA from 1 species
AACAUCACAACUUCACUACUACUUAAAACUAAAAGACAAUAUUUUCUCUCUACGCUAAGCUCAAAUCUAUGAUAUUCUUACCAAGCAAUAUCCUUCUUCUUCUUCUUGAUCUAGCUUCUUCUUUUUUGAAUUGACAAGUGGUUUUAUUCUUAUUACUACUCCAUCACUUAUAGCUGAGGUACAUACUACAUCCUCAUUCUCCGAUCCCUUUUAUUAAUUUUCUCAUAAUAUUGUUUAUAUAUAUAUUUUAAUUCUAAUGUUAGAAAGGACAUUUAACAGGCAGAAAUGAUCAGCAACGUAAAGCUUGAGCCAUCGCUUGAUGAAAACCAGCUGAACUUAGAUAAUAAAAUUAGUGCAAGUUGUGAUAUCACUGUGGACAUGAAAAGUGAUGAAGAGAUUUCUAAGCCAUUUGUUCCUAGUGUUAAGAUAAAGAAGUUUGCUGAUGAUGAUUCUUUACUG